CAGUCGCCGCGGGAACACGGAGGGAGCUAGCGUUGUUCGGAAUCACUGGGCGUAAAGCGCACGUAGGCGGCUAUUCAAGUCAGGGGUGAAAGCCCGGGGCUCAACCCCGGAACUGCCUUUGAAACUAGAUAGCUUGAAUCUUGGAGAGGCGAGUGGAAUUCCGAGUGUAGAGGUGAAAUUCGUAAAUAUUCGGAAGAACACCAGUGGCGAAGGCGACUGACUGGACAAGUAUUGACGCUGAGGUGCGAAAGCGUGGGGAGCAAACAGGAUUAGAUACCCCUGUAGUCCCUGUCUCUUAUAC
rnacentral:rRNA from 1 species